rnacentral:rRNA from 1 species
GGGCCCGCACAAGCGGCGGAGCAUGUUGCUUAAUUCGAUGCAACGCGAAGAACCUUACCUAGGUUUGACAUGUAGGGAAAAGCCGUAGAGAUACGGUGUCCGUAAGGGUCCUGCACAGGUGGUGCAUGGCUGUCGUCAGCUCGUGUCGUGAGAUGUUGGGUUAAGUCCCGCAACGAGCGCAACCCUCGUUCUAUGUUGCCAGCGGUUCGGCCGGGAACUCAUAGGAGACUGCCGGGGUCAACUCGGAGGAAGGUGGGGAUGACGUCAAGUCCUCAUGCCCCUUAUAUCUAGGGCUGCAAACAUGCUACAAUGGCCGGUACAGAGGGCUGCGAGACCGCAAGGUGGAGCGAAUCUCAAAAAGCCGGUCUCAGUUCGGAUUGGGGUCUGCAACUCGACCCCAUGAAGUCGGAGUCGCUAGUAAUCGCGAAUCAGCAACGUCGCGGUGAAUACGUUCCCGGGCCUU